GGGCAUGACACCCGCGCUGGUGCCUGCCAUCGGGCAGGUGAAAAGGGAAUGCGAUAAGGGCCGCGAGGUCCGAAGCGCAGCCGCCCCCGCGACCGUGACCGGAGAGGUUGCCCCACCGCCACUGGCCGACAAGGCCGGGAAGGCAGGACAACCGCCAGACUCAAGGGUCUGACAUCCGCAAGCCGGGAGACCUGCCAGCGCAAGACGACGAAA
rnacentral:ncRNA from 2 species